rnacentral:lncRNA from 10 species
GAGCUUGAGAAGGAAUCAGAUUCUGCAUAUAUUUCCAAGUUAACAUGAACAAGAUUUUCUGAAAGACUGCUAUGGAGUCUGAGAAAAAAUGUCAAAGAUUGAGGACAUGAAGAGGAAAGAACUGACAGAGGAGGUGAAGAAAGGUGAUCAGGAAGAGCCAUCAAAGUGUUAUCCUGGAAUUCAAGUGAAGACAGUGUUUCAAAGUGGAAAUGAACAGUGUCCUGUAACCCUCAGAGUGAGACUAGAGUCAGAAUGCAGGCUUUUCUCAUUUGAAAUCUCUCACCUGUCUUCCUUCCCCCACUUCUGUGUUCCUGAGUGAAAGGCAUACAAGGAAUCAACAUAUGCAAGGAAACAAAUAAGAGUGAUUGUGCUACCAAGGCCUGAAACUUCGGAAAAACCUGCAUAACACAAAAUAUAAAGUAAAUAUGCCACAGAGAGGAUCCAGAGAGCCCAUCUCCGGUCAGUUAUCUGUAUUUGUAUGUCAACUACAGCAUCAAAAAGCAUAGGCAUGGAUACUAAGGACCCCCUCUGUACACCAACGCCAGUCCAAAGGACAGUGUGUCACUGUGAACUGGAAAUUCAUCUCUCUUCUUCAAUUUUUUUCUACCUACUUUAUGCUUUAUCUCUAAGUUGAGGCUGUUUAUGGCCUCAUCCUCAAUUACCUUGUCCC